rnacentral:lncRNA from 1 species
ACGAAUAUGUUGCAUUUCAUACUUUAUUGUUGAUUGAUGUGGAUGAACGUUGGAUGAUCCAAAGCCCUCGAUCUAUGAUAUGACGAUGUGAUAUGUAUAGUACGGAAUGUAAGACCAGUGGGACCCAUUCUACGUUCGCUGGCACCAUGUAAGGGAAAGACCAGGACCCAUUCUACGUUCUGGCACAGUUGGACUGUUAUG